rnacentral:piRNA from 1 species
UCCUUUUUCAGUUGCUCUUGAUCAUGGGAC